rnacentral:lncRNA from 1 species
AGAGAGGCAGGGUCUCCAGGGAUUCCUGAACGUAAUCCCAUGAAGUUCUGGAAUCACCGAGUUAUGUGGUCCCAGUUAAACUCCUGGCCUUGGCUCUCUGGGUAAAGAGAAAACAUAAUCCUAACCAUCUUCAUGACUGAUUGGCAAUAUUUUCACUGUGACUUUUCCUCCAGAGACAUGUAAAGAUAUCACCGUGAGUUUGUAAGAUAAUCUUUCCUUUAGAGUUCUGCUGUUCCUUGUCAUUUUGCCCGUGAGGAUGGCCUGUUGGCCGCACGGGGACGACAGUCAAGAGAGAACCGUGACCUUGUUUGCAUUGCGUUGCUGAUACACACGAGCCCAUGAUGAAGUGAUUUGGGUAGAGCGAGGUCAGGCCACAUCUGUUAACCAAGUAGCCAGUCCUGGGCUUAAAAAUUAUUUGUUUCCAACUCUUUUUCUCUUUUCCGUCCCCGUAUUGACAGGAACAGCUGUCUUCUUUUUAAAAGGGCUACUUCCAUCUCUUUCAUUUUAUUGUUUCCACGUCUUUGAUUGUUUUGGAACAAGUCCGAUGGUGGAGACGGAACAGGGAGAUCACGAAGACAGCCUCUCCUUUAAAAAAUGACCAUGAUCUCACGCCUCCUCCCAACCCAGUGGAAACUGGAGCACCGCUCAAGGAGACGCUGCUGUCACAGGAUCCUGCUUACGGGCACGAAAGCUGGGAAAUUUCAGAGCCAAUCUGGGCCAGGGGAGGCUGGAGCUCGUGAGCUGGGCUGGAAAUGAUUCUUCCAGACUGCAGAGAAGACAGUGGCCUGCCCGCCGGCCGGCCUGCCUGCCCUCCCCGAGGCCAACAGGAAAUCCCAGAAUUUAUAGAUGACCCCGUUACAAGGUUAGGCCGGGAAAUUCCACUUGGUUCAUUGUCUUCAGCAGCAAACUGCCCGCUAGAACCUGUGAGGCUGAGAAAAACCAGAUGCCUGAUGGAUGCUUCCACAUAGGACCAGGGCGCUGGAGGUAAAUGGGGCCUGGUGCCGUGUGGCGAACGUUGAGGGCUCUUUCCCAUCCUGCAAAUGGCUCUGGGUGUGGAGACAGCCCAGGGAAGAGGCUGUCUGGGACCAUAUGGCGCUUGCCAGUGGCACUGAGGCUGUUAGAGACAGCGGUGG